rnacentral:lncRNA from 1 species
ACUGUAUGUGACUGGGGGAGUCAUGAUGUAAUUUCUUUGUGUUCUUCCCUAGGCAACUGCUUUUGGCAUCAAUGAAAUUGGAUAUUAGAAACAGUGACCUUUUCUGUGGCCUGGCAUGGGGUGGAUGGUGAUGCAAUGAUAUAGUCUUGAGAGCACAUCUAAAGGAGACUGUGGAAGAGAUGCUGUGCAGCAGGUGAGAGCAGUGAGCCACUUCAGUGUAGACACCACUCAGCUGUGAAAGUGCCCGCGAGCAUAGGACAACACCAAGGAGAACAAGAGGAGAAGUGUGAAAAUGAAGCAAGUGGGAAUGUUACAAGAGGGGGGGUACACAACGGGUAGAACAACAUGGGGCAACUUGAACAUUCCCUCCUUCCCUUUUAAGAGACAAGAAAAGGAUCACCAGAAGCAGAUGGGUCUGACCUUUCUGUUUCUUUUGAGAUGAC